rnacentral:tRNA from 1 species
GUUAUAGCUCAAUGGUAGAGCAUUUGCCUGGAAUGUACAAGGCCCUUGGCUCAAUCCCCAGAAUGACG